UGGCGGCGUGCCUAAUACAUGCAAGUCGAGCGGACCAAAGGGAGCUUGCUCCUGGAGGUCAGCGGCGAACGGGUGAGUAACACGUGGGCAACCUGCCUGUAAGACUGGGAUAACAUCGAGAAAUCGGUGCUAAUACCGGAUAAUAAAAAGAACUGCAUGGUUCUUUUUGAAAGAUGGUUUCGGCUAUCACUUACAGAUGGGCCCGCGGCGCAUUAGCUAGUUGGUGAGGUAACGGCUCACCAAGGCAACGAUGCGUAGCCGACCUGAGAGGGUGAUCGGCCACACUGGGACUGAGACACGGCCCAGACUCCUACGGGAGGCAGCAGUAGGGAAUCUUCCGCAAUGGACGAAAGUCUGACGGAGCAACGCCGCGUGAGUGAUGAAGGUUUUCGGAUCGUAAAACUCUGUUGUUAGGGAAGAACAAGUGCCGUUCGAAAGGGCGGCACCUUGACGGUACCUAACGAGAAAGCCACGGCUAACUACGUG
rnacentral:rRNA from 1 species